ensembl:lincRNA Gm26761 predicted gene, 26761
CAGUUGCCAAGUUUGUCUGCAAACGAGAUUUACCUGGAACAACACUUUUGAAAUCAUCGUGUCUCAAUUGAGAGUUACUGAAUACGACAGUGGAGCCAGAGUCAAACUAAGCCUGAAAGUACAAUAUAUUGAUGCUGAACAUAAAACAAGCCAGACAAGAUGUUGACUGUUGUUGAAGCAGGACGGGGAGUUGGUUGCUUCCUAACAUUCUUUAAUUUGUGUGUGCCUGCCGUUUUCCUACAUGGAGGAUGGAGGGUCUGUUCUGGCUGCUGACAGAUGAUGGUCUUCAUGCCCAGCAUAUGUGGGUGAGACCGAGUCCUGAAGCUAGCUGGGAAAGCUAGCCCAACAAUCUCAAGGCUUAGAGCUUCCUUCCCUCUUAGAGUCUCAGUUCCCUGAAGGUACCUUCCCGUAUCUCACAGCCAUGGCGUACCCCUCUUCUGACCUGAGACACAGCCUUGCUGGUCUGCAUCUUAGCACAGAGGAAAGAGGGAAAAACCUGCCAGCUGGGUCACCAGGGAUUACUAGGGAUUUUUGAUCUGAUCACCACACACCCACAUGGUAUACAGACUCAACCUUCCCAAGAGAACUAAUUUUGUUGAAUCUUUAGAGAUGGUGGUUAUACCCACUCAACCAUUUUGAUUCAAUAUUAUGUUUCUGCAAGGCAUUACAGUCAAGCAAGUAUACCCCUAUACACAUGUGUGUGUGUCAGUGUGACUGUAUGCUGCUUGUGUGGGAGGGCCAGUGGAGGCCUGGUGGUGGUGCUAGGAGCUAAACUCAGGUCCUCUGGAAGAGAAAGAAGCACUCCUAACCACUGAGCAAUCCCUCCAGCCCACAGUGCAUCUCUAAUUUUCCACUUUGCUUUAUGAAUAUAGUUAUCCAGGUGUGACAAUACACACCUUUAAUCCUAGCACCUGGGACUCGAUUCAGUUGCUGGCAUCUGAGGGCUACAGAAGCCCCUCCAAGGAACCUGAGAGAUCCAGGGAAGUUUAGAGUGGAGAUGCAGAUGAACGCGUAGAGUGCACUGCAUUUCCGGAAUAACUAAAAAAGGCAGGUUUUGUUGGAAGAUGCUUUUAAAAAGUGGUUUCAUAUAACUGGAGAAAAAAAAGAUGGUGCAACAGAGUCCCCCGCAGCAGAGAAAAGCACAACUAGAAAGAAACGAAGCAGCAGGGAUAGGCAUGUGAGCAUGGGACACACAGAGAAGCAUGCUGUUAUGGAAUGGGGCUUGUCCACGGGACGACAGGACCGUGAUGAAGCCCCGGCUGCUGUGGCUUAUAUAGCCCUCCCUGCUGGGCAGAGGAGAGCAUGGACCUCCGCGCUGCCUGUGGGCUGCAGACACGAAGGUGAUGCCCGGGGUCCUGGCAGGGCGCCAAGGGCAGGAUGGUGGACAGCAGGCUGUAGCUUGAGUAGGCCCUGUUCCCGGACAUGCUACCCAACUGCAUCAUCACCCUGACUCUGAGCAACAAAAAGUUGUACUGAGAUGAAGAACGGUUCAUUUUCUGGAUCAAGCCUCCUCAAAAGACCCUCCUAGGAGACACGGACCAUGCUGCCGCCAGAGACCAUGUUGAUGUCUGUGAUUUGUGUUACCACUGGAGGCCGUGUUCAUGUCCGCGAUCUAGGCUAUCACCAGAAACCUUGUUGAAGUCCUGUGGUCUGUGUUUCCGGAGACCAUGUUGAGGUCUGUGCUCUGUGCUGCUGCUGGAGGCCAGGUUGAUGUCAGUAAAUCCAUGCUGCCUCCAGAAACCAUAUUGAAGUUCAUGUUCUGUGCAGCUGCCAGCUGGUAGCCCCCUACCUGGACCCCUCGCCAGAAAAAAAGAAAAAAAAGGAGAAAAAAAUUAUGAUAAAGAUGCUGAAGUGCAGCUCUUCUCAGCUGAUGGCUUCCAGCAGGGGUGGGAAAAGGCGUGGAAAGUUCUCAGUUAUCUUUAGGGGGCUAGCCAUUGAGAGUCUGACCAUGUUCCCAUGAGUAUUUGUGCAACACAAAUUAAAGCUGGUGAAAUUUUAUUUGGGUGGGGGGAGGUGAGGGGCAAAGAGGGUAUGAUCUGGGUGAAUUGUUUGAAAUUCCCAAACACUUAAUGAAAAUAUUAUGUUAGGGGAAAAAAAUCCUAACACUUAGGAGGCAAAGACAGGUACUUUGUGGUGUUUGAGAUCAACUUAGCUCUGUGUUUCAAGUGGGGAAAAUGUAAUUAGAACAUAUU